AAAGGGCGGGUUAAACAGGUUCACAUCACUCCUAUUGUUGACAAGAUCUUGGAAAAUUUGGCUAGCUCGAAAGGUUCUUGUCUCUCCAUGGCUGGUAGGCUGACUCUGGUGAAAUCUGUAAUAUAUAGGAUGACAAUGUACUCCAUCAAUAUUUAUAAUUGGCCCAUAUCUUCUAUUAAAAGUCUUGAGAAGGCUUGCAGGAAUUUCAUAUGGUCUGGUAGCACUGACAAAAGAAAGUUGUGUGUUGUUUCUUGGAAGAAAACUUGCCAACCUUUCUCUAAGGGUGAUUUCUGGUUAAGAUCGAUGUUCUGUCUGAACGAAGCGACUAAUUUGUAG